rnacentral:rRNA from 1 species
UACGAAGGGGGCUAGCGUUGUUCGGAAUCACUGGGCGUAAAGCGCACGUAGGCGGAUCUUUAAGUCAGGGGUGAAAUCCCGAGGCUCAACCUCGGAACUGCCUUUGAUACUGGGGAUCUCGAGUCCGGGAGAGGUGAGUGGAACUGCGAGUGUAGAGGUGAAAUUCGUUAGAUAUCAAGAACACCUAUUGCGAAGGCAGCCAGCUGGGACCAUAUUGACGCUGAGGCUCGAAAGCAUGGGGAGCAAACAGG